UACCUACUCUAUUAGAGGACGUACCUCU
rnacentral:sRNA from 1 species